ensembl:lncRNA
CAAUCAAAUUUUUUGAGACAAGGUGCACUAUAUCCUCUCUAGUUAUAUUUCCGAUUUGAGCUUGAGCUUCAGAAUGUUUUAGAUAAUGUAGUUUUUGUUGACGCUACCAUGCUACUUGAUCAAAAAAAGAGCUUCGCUACUGAAAAGCUAUUUGAUUAAGAAAACAGCAACGCUGCCACCAUGUUACUGACAAAUGUAGUUAAGCUUGUAACAUCACUACUUGUAGCGAUGCUACUGCCCAUCACUGCUGACAAUACGAAGUUAUGGCCAGUCUUGAUGAAAAAAGGAAGGUGACUAACUAUAAAGACUACUCUAAGGAGUUUAUGCAACUGGCACCAGUUCUUGAGUUAAGCUUUUUUGUAAUUUUUGCUCCUCAAAAAUGCUUAGAUUUGCAGAUUUACGAUGCUGAGUGUACGUUUAAUGAAAAACCCUCUUGUUGUCGAGUAAAAUGUGACUGGAAACCAAAAACUGAAGAUAACUUCACUUCAGCCACUUGUCGUGUUAAAGGAGAAACCAUGACUUGCAAUCUUGGCAAUGAACAAAAAGUGUGGACCACCCCUUCAAUACCUUACGGAAAAAUUGCCAUAAAUGCUACUUGUAUAAUAUCUCAAGGUACAAGCAGUACACAUCCAUUUCUAAAACUUAAAGCAUCUGUGCCACAAAAUGUUUUUUCUGAAUCUCAGUGAAAACAUUACCUCCUUGUUAAUUUAUGAUGAAUGCAUUUCAGAAAAGAAUAAAAGAGUUAUCUACAAUGUGUCUUGUUACAAGCAAAAUAAAAAACCCAUUUGUUGUGACACACUAUGUGAGGUGUGCAAUCUCACUAUGCUCAAUGCAACAUGCAAAAUGGCAGGUAAGUUUAAUACAAAUACAUUGUACAGGAUAAUAUAUAAACACACCAUACUACUGAUUUUGCCAUACUUACAAUACAGCCUUAUAAUUAUAAUUAACUUAUAUAUAUUCUUACACUUUAUUACAGGAGGAAAAAUUGAUGUGUGCAGUUUUGGUGUUGGUGACAGUCCAAUGCUUGGGUUGUGUUUUAAAAAUUCUUGUAAACAGCCUAAUGGCAAACCUUGUGAUUUCGAAGAUGGUGAUAAGUGCUAUAUCAAUUUAGGGGCAACGGAUGAAAAAAUACAAAAGCAAAAGCAAGGUAAGGCACAUACAUGUACACUUCUUGUAAACACUAUAAUAGCUAUUCUGUGUCUAAUUUACUGGUGCAUGUAUUCUUAUCAGCUCACUGAUUCCCCAAAUAAUGAUAUAGCAAGUGAGUUUAGUAGGCUGUUUUGUGUUUUCCCUCUGAUGUCUGAGUUGAGGGAAAAGGGCUUGUGUGUGUGUGUAAAAGAUGUACAGUCAUGGCCAAAAGUUUUGAGAAUUACAUAAAUAUUGGAAAUUGGAAAAGUUGCUGCUUAAGUUUUUAUAAUAGCAAUUUGCAUAUACUCCAGAAUGUUAUGAAGAGUGAUCAGAUGAAUUGCAUAGUCCUUCUUUGCCAUGAAAAUUAACUUAAUCCCAAAAAAAACUUUCCACUGCAUUUCAUUGCUGUCAUUAAAGGACCUGCUGAGAUCAUUUCAGUAAUCAUCUUGUUAACUCAGGUGAGAAUGUUAGCGAGCACAAGGCUGGAGAUCAUUAUGUCAGGCUGAUUGGGUUAGAAUGGCAGACUUGACAUGUUAAAAGGAGGGUGAUGCUUGAAAUCAUUGUUCUUCCAUUGUUAACCAUGGUGACCUGCAAAGAAACGCGUGCAGCCAUCAUUGCGUUGCAUAAAAAUGGCUUCACAGGCAAGGAUAUUGUGGCUACUAAGAUUGCACCUAAAUCAACAAUUUAUAGGUUCAUCAAGAACUUCAAGGAAAGAGGUUCAAUUCUUGUAAAGAAGGCUUCAGGGCGUCCAAGAGAGUCCAGCAAGCGCCAGGAUCGUCUCCUAAAGAGGAUUCAGCUGCGGGAUCGGAGUGCCACCAGUGCAGAGCUUGCUCAGGAAUGGCAGCAGGCAUUUGGCCCAGAAAUUGAUUGAGAGCAUGCCCAGUCGAAUUGCAGAGGUCCUGAAAAAGAAGGGCCAAGACUGCAAAUACUGACUCUUUGCAUAAAUGUCAUGUAAUUGUCGAUAAAAGCCUUUGAAACGUAUGAAGUGCUUGUAAUUAUAUUUCAGUACAUCACAGAAACAACUGAAACAAAGAUCUAAAAGCAGUUUAGCAGCAAACUUUUUGAAAACUAAUAUUUAUGUAAUUCUCAAAACUUUUGGCCACGACUGUAUACUUUGCUCUUCUAAAACUUUUACUAUUUUCUUAUUUUUUUAUUUUAUUUUUUAUCUUCUAUAAUGCAUAUUAUUUUUAAAACUGUGCCAUCUGUUGAACCAGUAUCCAGUGUGAGCAAACAUCCAAGAACUGACAAGCGAGAUGUGACAGCACCGCUAUUACCCACAAGUAUCUGAUUGUAUUUCAUUCCAAAGAAUAUAAAAUAAUAUAAAUUUAGCAGUUGUUGUUAAGCAGUUGACUUGUUUGAGUCUGUUUUCCUGAUUUGUUUCCUCCCUAAGGCAAAGGCCUCCCAAAAUUAUAAUUUUAACAUGGUUUUUAUUAUAGUCAAAUAUAUAGUGAAUAAUAUUCAAAAUGCUAAAAUCUAAUUACUGAAAGGACAUUUGCUUUUGUACGAUUUUAGAACCACACAACCAAACUGGAUUGGAUUUAAGUUGCAGUUCUGGUACUAUUGCCUUAUACUUAUUCAUUGGUUUUAUCAUUGGCAUUAUCGCUGUUGUUGGUACUAUUGGCUUCUUAUGCAUCUAUCAUAAUAAGAUGGACACAGUGUUGCCUUGCUAAUUGUGUGAUUUAAUUUUUAGUGCAUCAUAUGCAAUUCAAUUGCUGGUAAGCACCUCUAUCCUAAACUUGACUUCUAUAAUUGUUGGGAAAUAAUAACAUGACAUUAAAAACAAAAUGUGUAAACUGAAACAAACAUUAUUUUCUGUCAUUACCUUUGCAUACCUGCAAACUCUGGACCAGUGAAAAACAUAACCUGGGCUAAUAAAAUUGUAUUUUUAUAGAUACA